GGAAUAUUGCACAAUGGGCGCAAGCCUGAUGCAGCCAUGCCGCGUGUAUGAAGAAGGCCUUCGGGUUGUAAAGUACUUUCAGCGAGGAGGAAGGCGGUGAGGUUAAUAACCUCAUCGAUUGACGUUACUCGCAGAAGAAGCACCGGCUAACUCCGUGCCAGCAGCCGCGGUAAUACGGAGGGUGCAAGCGUUAAUCGGAAUUACUGGGCGUAAAGCGCACGCAGGCGGUCUGUCAAGUCGGAUGUGAAAUCCCCGGGCUCAACCUGGGAACUGCAUUCGAAACUGGCAGGCUAGAGUCUUGUAGAGGGGGGUAGAAUUCCAGGUGUAGCGGUGAAAUGCGUAGAGAUCUGGAGGAAUACCGGUGGCGAAGGCGGCCCCCUGGACAAAGACUGACGCUCAGGUGCGAAAGCGUGGGGAGCAAACA
rnacentral:rRNA from 1 species